rnacentral:lncRNA from 1 species
AGAAUCCCUUGAUAUAGCAAUCAAAGCAUAAUUAAAUUAAACUUAAAUAAGAAGAAUACCUGUGGUGCUAAUCCUAAUUUCGAUAGAGCUUCCACUAGGUGCUCAAAUGUUCACCAUCCACGGCGAUCCAUAUGAAAAUUGAACCAAGAACAGCUUUCUUCCUUCACCUUGCUUCAACCCCUAAAACUUGACUAGCCACC